rnacentral:lncRNA from 1 species
CUCCUUUAUUUCUUGGGAGCAUUUGAUAUAAACUUUUAAAAUUAUUAUUUUUUAAAUUAUUCUAUUUACUCUUAUGUGUAUGGGUGUACUGUAUGUGUGUGUGCCUAGUACCCAAGAAGGCCAGAAGAGGGUGUCAGAUUCUCUGGGACUGGAGAUACAGAAGCUACUAUGUGGGUGCUAGGACUUGAACCUGGAUCCUCUGGAAGAGCAACUAGUGCUCGUAACAGUUGAGCCAUCUUUCUCGCCUUUACUUAAAAUUCUCAUGUGUUAGGUUUUAUUGCUAUGACAAAAUGCCUGAGCCAGUUAAGCCUUAAGAAAGACAGCUUUGUCUUUGCUUACAGUUUCUGAGGUUUCAGUUCCAAGGAGGUUGACUUGCUGCUUUUGGACCUGUGACAGGGCAGAACAUUUUGAUGGGAGUGACAGAGGAAGCUGCUCCCUUAUCAUGGCUAUGAAACAAAAGAGAGCAAGAAAGAGACAGGAUUACCAGUAUCUCCUUCAGUUCAGUCCUGUGGUAAACACCAAAUACGAUUCAUCAGCUCCAGACCAGUCCUCUAGGCAGGCAGACACCAGGGACGAACCAGCAGCUACAGUCCAGUUCUUUCAGCAAGCAGACACCGGGCAUGAACCAGCAGAUGUAGUUCAAUCCUGAAGAAACCACUAGACUCAUCAGAUGUCCCAAAGCAAGGCCCCAGAAGUCACAUGCUGCUGCAGGAACCACGCAAGAAGUUUUUGGGUAGAAAUGGAGAUUAGCCACUGUCGUGAAAGGAUAAACCGCAAAAGGACUCUAUCUGUCCUAUGCGUGUGCACUUGGCUCGAGUGCAGGCCCAUUGAAGAAUUUGGCUAUGCACACUGAGCCCUGCACUGGCCUCUGCAUCCCUCCAAGCCUCCCAACAGCGAUUUUACUUUUCUUUUAAGUGUGUGUGUGUGUGUGUGUGUGUGUGUGUGUGUGUGUGUGAGAGAGAGAGAGAGAGAGAGAGAGAGAGAGAGAGAGAGAGUGAGAGUGCAUGUGUGUGUGUCCACAGAGGCCAGAAGAGGGUAUCAAAGCCCUUGGGGCUUGAGUUGUAGGCACCUGUGAUCCACUCAGCAUGGGUGCUUCGAACAGUACCCUGGUCCUUCAUAAGAACUUAACUGUUAACUUAAACUUUCAACUGUUGAGCAGUCUCCAGAGACCUGCUCACUGUGUUUUAAGGUGAGCACUUAAAACAUUUUCACUUUCUUUCCCUCACCAAGGAAUGUUUCAGAUCUUUCUCUUGGCUCCAACUUCAGUGCUCACCCAACCUUAAUCUUUAUAGGUGAUUUUCAUACCCCAUUCCACUCUUCCCCCUUACCUCCCACCAAAAGGCCACACAACUAAACACUGCCACCAGAAUGACUUCUCUUCCCACUCAGAGAUCAUCUGUGAGGUAAAGUGUCCACUCUCUCUGCCAGGACAUACUUUCCCAUGGUUCAUUUCUGUGACCCUGGCCUCUGUACUGUUGUCACUGGGUACAGUGCCCUUCAGGAAGACCUGGGGCUGACUGUCUCUUCAGGAUGUGUAGUUAGAUUGGAGAUAUAUAAGUCUCUCCCAGCAGGCUGCCGCAGUUUAAUGUGUGGUACAGAAAAGGCCAAGCCCUCUGGGCUGAGUGGGGCUUAGAGCUCGCUUGUGACCUUUUUCUUUGCCAGAGGCAUUUUUUUUUGCAGUCCUAAGAGCUCACCUCUCUGCAGGUCAGCAUGAUACCAACAUUGACUGUGAGAUCAUCCCCAGAGGGCAUGUGUAAGAGGUAAAACUGAAUGUUCUCAAAGGUGCUUUGAGCCAACUUAGUUCCAGCUUCAAAAAAUAGGAAACACCAAGCCUCUGCCAGUGCCUUCUCUAGUUAUUCCCCACCCAAACUAGAAGUCGGGAGCAGAAACUUACAGCCAAGCUUUCUUGCAUCUGAUGAGGAUGUAAAAAUGAAAGCAUAUCGUUUUUCUUGGGAAAAAGACAAACAGAAGGGUCAGAGGGAGAGGUAAGAUCGAGAUGGUGUGUAAGAUGUCUGUCCUGACUACUAGGAGAGGGAGAAAGGGCCUACAUUGGAGUUAUAAAUUCUGCACUUGGCACACUUGACAUUACAGGCUGAUGCCCAACUUGGCAAAGGCAUCAACCGCUCUGUCCCUGGGGGUCUUAUUAUGAAGUGAGGAUCACCAUUUCUCACACUUGUAUGGUAGGAGUGGAUUCAGCCCAGCUCUGUUCUUCUGGGCUUCAGAGGAUCUUCAUCCAGUGACAUUGAUUCCUGUCACCAAAAGAGGCAGCCAACUCCGUCUGAUGUGCUCAGUGAAGCACUCUGUGGGCUUCCCUCACGUCCCCAUCACACUUUCUCUCAUUUCUAUAACUGUUGAAUGUACCUAAAAAGCGAACUUUCUAACUCCAAUCCUUGACCCAGACCACUUCUCCUUUGUUCCUUUCCCGACUGAGUCUCACUGGGCGCAUUGACCACAGAGGCUAAGCCUCAUGCCCAGUAGUAGGUAGUCAACAGAAAACGAACUUGAUGAUAUUUUUGGAGAUAUUUUUAUCUCAAAUUGCUUUGUUCAGCCAUCUUUUGUCUUAUUAGUCCUUUGCUUGUAUUUUUUGGUUUCUGUGUGUGUGUGUGUUUCUAUUUUUUGUUUCGUUGUUUUGUUUUUUUAAGGGGGGUGGUAGGUAAAGAGGUGGAGAUGACCUGGGAGGAUUUUUGGGAGGGGAGAAUUGUCAUCAGACUAUAUUCUAAGAAACACACAGGUAGAUGGAAUGAGAGGGUGGAUCUGAAAAGAGUUGAGGGAAGUGACCGAG